UACGUAGGGGGCGAGCGUUGUCCGGAUUUAUUGGGCGUAAAGAGCGUGUAGGCGGCCAGACAGGUCCGCUGUGAAAACUCGGGGCUUAACCCCGGGCCUGCAGUGGGUACGGGCAGACUAGAGUGCGGUAGGGGAGACUGGAAUUCCUGGUGUAGCGGUGAAAUGCGCAGAUAUCAGGAGGAACACCGGUGGCGAAGGCGGGUCUCUGGGCCGUAACUGACGCUGAGGAGCGAAAGCGUGGGGAGCGAACAGG
rnacentral:rRNA from 1 species